GAUGAACGCUGGCGGCGUGCCUAAUACAUGCAAGUCGAGCGAAUGGAUUAAGAGCUUGCUCUUAUGAAGUUAGCGGCGGACGGGUGAGUAACACGCGGGUAACCUGCCCAUAAGACUGGGAUAACUCCGGGAAACCGGGGCUAAUACCGGAUAACAUUUUGAACCGCAUGGUUCGAAAUUGAAAGGCGGCUUCGGCCGUCACUUAUGGAUGGACCCGCGUCGCAUUAGCUAGUUGGGGAGGUAACGGCCCACCAAGGCAACGAUGCGUAGCCGACCCGAGAGGGUGAUCGGCCACACUGGGACUGAGACACGGCCCAGUCUCCUACGGGAGGCAGCAGUAGGGAAUCUUCCGCAAUGGACGAAAGUCUGACGGAGCAACGCCGCGUGAGUGAUGAAGGCUUUCGGGUCGUAAAACUCUGUUGUUAGGGAAGAACAAGUGCUAGUUGAAUAAGCUGACACCUUGACGGUACCUAACCAGAAAGCCACGGCUAACUACGUGCCAGCCGCCGCAGUAA
rnacentral:rRNA from 1 species